rnacentral:rRNA from 1 species
UACGUAGGGGGCAAGCGUUGUCCGGAUUUAUUGGGCGUAAAGAGCGUGUAGGCGGCUUGACAGGUCUGCUGUGAAAACUCGAGGCUCAACCUCGAGAUGUCGGCGGAAACCGUCUGGCUAGAGUCCGGAAGAGGCGAGUGGAAUUCCUGGUGUAGCGGUGAAAUGCGCAGAUAUCAGGAGGAACACCGAUGGCGAAGGCAGCUCGCUGGGACGGUACUGACGCUGAGGCGCGAAAGCGUGGGGAGCAAACAGG